AACCAUUCUCACCUGCGGCUAGACCUGCGGAAGGAUCAUUACUGAGUGUAAAAACUCCAAACCCAUGUGAACUUACCACUGUUGCCUCGGCGCAGUUUCCUGUCUGGUGGCGAGAGCUGCUGGGCGGGUUGCGCCGGUGGACUACCAAACUCUUGUAAUUUUGGCAUUCUGAAUAAAAAACUUAAUAAGUUAAAACUUUCAACAAUGGAUCU
rnacentral:misc_RNA from 1 species